rnacentral:tRNA from 1 species
UUAAUUGAAGCAUUAUUAAAUGCAUUUAACUGUUAAUUAAAUUAAUCACUCUAGUGACUUUUAAA